rnacentral:rRNA from 1 species
UUUGACCUCAAAUCAGGUAGGAAUACCCGCUGAACUUAAGCAUAUCAAUAAGCGGAGGAAAAGAAACCAACCGGGAUUACCUUAGUAACGGCGAGUGAAGCGGUAAAAGCUCAAAUUUGAAAUCUAGUACCUUCGGUGCUCGAGUUGUAAUUUGUAGAGGGAUACUUUGGGGCCGUUCCUUGUCUAUGUUCCUUGGAACAGGACGUCAUAGAGGGUGAGAAUCCCGUGUGGCGAGGAGUGCGGUUCUAUGUAAAGUGCCUUCGAAGAGUCGAGUUGUUUGGGAAUGCAGCUCUAAGUGGGUGGUAAAUUCCAUCUAAAGCUAAAUAUUGGCGAGAGACCGAUAGCGAACAAGUACAGUGAUGGAAAGAUGAAAAGAACUUUGAAAAGAGAGUGAAAAAGUACGUGAAAUUGUUGAAAGGGAAGGGCAUUUGAUCAGACAUGGUGUUUUGUGCCCUCCGCUCCUUGUGGGUGGGGGAAUCUCGCAGCUCACUGGGCCAGCAUCAGUUUUGGCGGCAGGAUAAAUCUGUAGGAAUGUAGCUUGCUUCGGGAAGUGUUAUAGCCUGCGGGAAUACUGCCAGCCGGGACUGAGGAAUGCGAC